AUUGGAAGGGGAUUAAAGAUAAAGAAGCCAUUUGGGAAUAUGUUCAAGCUAAAUUCAUUAUUCCAACUGAAGGAAAGAGGAUGGUCCUUGCUCGUAUCAAUGACAACUGGAGAAGGUAUAAGACUACAAUAAAGCAAACUCAUUUUUUGCCAUACAAAUGUGUUAAUGAGAUGCUGAAAAAUCGUCCUAAGAGCAUACCUGAGAGUCAUUUUCGCAAGUUAAUUGCUUAUUGGAGAACUGAGAAAGUUAAGAAAAUGUCUGCGCAGAAUAAGAAAAAUAGGGCACAAUAGAAAUUUAGGCAUCGAAAGGGACCAAUAAAUUUUGCAAGAAUACGUGCAAGAUUGGCUGCUUCUAAGGAAAAUAAUGAACCACCUACUCAAGCAGAAAUGUUUGUUGAGACUCGUCAAAGCACAAAGGAAAAAUCAUUGGAUGAAGACACUCUGG